rnacentral:lncRNA from 1 species
GGUGCACUUGUAGUUCCACAUUUUAAAGUUGAAACCUCGUAUAAACUUUUUCCAUCUUAUAAUCGCUUGCAUUUAUUAGGUAUAGAAACUUUGUGGGACUCUUGAAGUUUGUCCAAAAGCCCAAACACGCCAGACUAAACUAUACAUUUUCUUCUAUUUUAAAAGAGGUUCAAACUUCACUCCUAAGCCAAUGGUAGAUCUGGAAAAUGCCCCAUACCUUCUUAUAAAAGUCACGACUUUUUAUUUCACAAAAGUUUAAGACAUCAUCAUUGUCAAAUCCUUUUCCCACAUAAUUGGGUUGGCUACAUGAAUUAUGGUAUAUCAUUUUGCUCUAUUAAGGGGUAUAUUCUCAAUGAAGUCAUAAGUUCCUGUAUCUUUUCUCACUACUUCCAACCAUAUCUUUUUGAGCCUAUCCCUUAUUAUUUUUUUAGCCUUCCACUUAAACUAACUUGCACUCACAAAAGUAGUAAUGGAUAAAAAUUAAAAAGUGUAAAAAAUAACAAAUUGGCUAUAAUGAAGAGAGAAAAAUAACUCCUCCAUCCGGAGUAGGAUUGGUUUCCAUAGCUGGGUUUGGGAUGGGUUUAAGCCACCUCGCUUGUAUUAGAAAAUAAAUCUUGAUAUAUGCCAACAUUUGGGUUUCAAACAGUUUGCUAGCACCUUCCCGACAUUUGAGUUUCAAACAGUUUGCUAGCACGUUCCCAACUGUCCGGCAUCACCAGAAACAGUUGGUUUUCAUCAACAUUCUGAGGAACAAUGCACCCAAACCGGCUGUUGUCGGCAUCACAUGUUGUCGUCGCUGAAGUGCUAGCAAA